rnacentral:rRNA from 1 species
GACGAAGGGUGCAAGCGUUACUCGGAAUUACUGGGCGUAAAGCGUGCGUAGGUGGUUCGUUAAGUCUGUCGUGAAAGCCCCGGGCUCAACCUGGGAAUGGCGAUGGAUACUGGCGGGCUAGAGUGCGGUAGAGGGUGGUGGAAUUCCCGGUGUAGCAGUGAAAUGCGUAGAGAUCGGGAGGAACAUCAGUUGCGAAGGCGGCCACCUGGACCAGCACUGACACUGAGGCACGAAAGCGUGGGGAGCAAACAGG